rnacentral:misc_RNA from 1 species
UUUUUUUUUUUUCUGUUCUCUUAUCAUUUUCCUUUUUCUCACCACAAAACAGCCCAAGAGGGUACAUUUCCAUGAGCUGCAUGAACGUAAGAUUCCCACUACUCUUCAUUGAUUUGUCAGCCGAAGAAGAAACAAACUCUCUGCCAUUAAUUUGGUCUUCUAAUUAAAAAUUCCAAACCAAGAAUAUAUCUAUGAACAUAAAUAUUUACACAACUAAUAAAUUAUAAUAAAACAAAAACAAAUUCACCUAAUUUCAGCAAUCUUUCAGCUCAAACUCUUCCAAUUCCAUAAACAGAAUUAUGGAAAAUUCCUGCCCAGUCCGUUCAGAUUAGCAAAGAAACCAACCAGUCCUUGCCGGUAAGGUAAGUAUGAUUUUCUCUUAUCUCCUUCCUUCAAGGCCUUGUUCCUCACAUAGAACACCUCGUGUGCCGAUACUUUCUCUUUGGCCUUGCCUGGUUUUGCAGCAAUUAUUUUGCCUUUAUUAACUUUCUCCUCUUUCUUCCUCCCCAGAAUGAUAUUAUUAUUGUUAUUAUUGUCACGACGAUGAUCUGGAUUCAAAAAUAUCAAAGAUUCCUUGCCGCCGUCGCUGCUGCAUCUACGAAGAUGCAGCAAAUCUCGCAAUCGCCACCGUUGCUUCGACGAUGAUCCAGUGGAAUUGCUCUUUUUGCACCUUGACUGCGAAGGCGAAGCCGAAAGAGAAGGUGACGGCGACGGUGACGACCUUUGCUGUGUCCAAACACAAAAAGUUCCCUGUGAGACUCUGUCUAAUUCGUCCGCCUCCGAUGAAGACGAAGACGGAGGAUCUCGAUCAUCAAUGAACAGAUUCUUCAAAGGUAAUCGAACAGCGGACGAUGUCACUUCUUCGCGAUCUCUUCUCUGUUUAUUUGACUCAUUUCCACAACUCAAAAGGAGAUCACGAUCGAAGAGCGGGAAAACCGGGAAGGCGACUUCAUGAUCUCCGUCGAUUGUUGUGCAAGCGUCGGGAUUUGAGCGUACCAAAACAAACUCGAAAUCAUCGUCGUCGACGUCGCCAUAGCUGCCGCUACUUUCGUUCUCGUUUUGGUUCCUGGAAACAGGAGCUCCGUUAUUUGCUUCCUCUUCCCCGACUUUUGCUGCGAUACACGCCAGUUGAUCAGAGGAGUAGCUAUUGAAGCUGAGACAAAAGGACACCGUAGAUCCUGGAUCUUGCAUUUGGAACUGCUCUUUUCAGUUUCCCAGAUAGAGAGAGAGUGAGAGAGACAAAAAACGGGGAGAGAGAAAGAGACUUAGGUAGAGAAAUGAGGGAUUGUUGGGGUACGAGCAACUUGUGAAUGAAUACUUAUACGCACGAACGCCAGUGAUUAUGAAG